AUACGUAGGUGGCAAGCGUUGUCCGGAAUUACUGGGUGUAAAGGGAGCGUAGGCGGGAGUGCAAGUCAGAUGUGAAAUACACGGGCUCAACCCAUGGGCUGCAUUUGAAACUGCAUUUCUUGAGGGAAGCAGAGGUAAGCGGAAUUCCUGGUGUAGCGGUGAAAUGCGUAGAUAUCAGGAGGAACACCGGUGGCGAAGGCGGCUUACUGGGCUUUUACUGACGCUGAGGCUCGAAAGCGUGGGGAGCAAACAGGAUUAGAUACCCUGGUAGUCCACGCUGUAAACGAUGAUUACUAGGUGUGGGGGGACUGACCCCUUCCGUGCCGCAGUUAACACAAUAAGUAAUCCACCUGGGGAGUACGGCCGCAAGGUUGAAACUCAAAUGAAUUGACGGGG
rnacentral:rRNA from 1 species